rnacentral:rRNA from 1 species
GAUGAACGCUGGCGGCGUGCUUAACACAUGCAAGUCGAACGGAAAGGCCCUGCUUUUGUGGGGUGCUCGAGUGGCGAACGGGUGAGUAACACGUGAGUAACCUGCCCUUGACUUUGGGAUAACUUCAGGAAACUGGGGCUAAUACCGGAUAGGAGCUCCUGCUGCAUGGUGGGGGUUGGAAAGAUUCGGCGGUUGGGGCUGGACUCGCGGCUUAUCAGCUUGUUGGUGGGGUAGUGGCUUACCAAGGCUUCGACGGGUAGCCGGCCUGAGAGGGUGGACGGCCACAUUGGGACUGAGAGACGGCCCAGACUCCUACGGGAGGCAGCGGUGGGAAAUAUUGCGCAGUGGGGGGAAGCCUGAUGCAGCGACGCCGCGUGCGGAAUGACGGCCUACGGGUGGUAAACCGCUUUCGCCUGUGACGAAGCGUGAGUGACGGUAAUGGGUAAAGAAGCACCGGCUAACUACGUG